rnacentral:rRNA from 1 species
GCAAGUCGAGGGGUAACAGGGGAGCUUGCUCCUGCUGACGACCGGCGCACGGGUGAGUAACGUGUAUGCAACUUGCCUCACACAGGAGGAUAGCCUUUGGAAACGAAGAUUAAUACUCCAUAGUAUCUAUUGCUGGCAUCAGUGAUAGAUUAACAUUUAUGGGUGUGAGAUAGGCAUGCAUUAGAUUAGCUAGUUGGUAAGGUAACGGCUUACCAAGGCUACGAUCUAUAGGGGUCCUGAGAGGGAGAUC